rnacentral:tRNA from 3 species
GCCUCGGUGGCUUAGUGGCUAUAGCGGCGGACUUGUAAUCCGCAGGUCGGGGGUUCAAAUCCCCCCUGAGGCU